UACAGAGGGGGCUAGCGUUGUUCGGAAUUACUGGGCGUAAAGGGCGCGUAGGUGGCCUGUUAAGUCGAACGUGAAAUCCCCGGGCUCAACCCGGGAACUGCGUCCGAGACUGGCAGGCUCGAAUCCGGGAGAGGGAUGUGGAAUUCCAGGUGUAGCGGUGAAAUGCGUAGAUAUCCGGAGGAACACCGGUGGCGAAGGCGGCUUCCUGGACCGACACUGACGCUGAGGCGCGAAGGCUAGGGGAGCAAACGGG
rnacentral:rRNA from 1 species